UGGGGUACAAGACUGCAAGUUUUGGCCCAGCCUGGGCAACUUAAUGAGACCCUGUCUUAAACCAGUAAGAAAAGGGCUGGCUUGGUAGGAAGCCCUGGAGGGUCCAACUCCCAGCACUGGCAAAAGAGGGGACAGAUUUUCAGCUUCCCCUCCCGCCACUUGUCCACAGGCCUGACGGUGUUUCCUUCCGGAAACAUGGUCUCCUCUGUAAGCAAGCGGCUGUUAGGGUUUAUGUCUGAAAUGUCCCCAAGUUCUCGCCCGGGGGGAGCACCGUGGGGCUGCUCUACUCAGCAGUGGGGCAGUCCAGUGGCUGGAUUCGCUGUGGGGAAGUGGGGCCUGGGCAGAGGUGGUCCCUGGGGCGUGACCUGGAGGGCUGUGUUCCUGUGCAAGGCUUCUCCCUUCUCUUGCGACUUCCUGGCUGCCAUGAGGCGAGCAGCUUCUCCUCUGCCAUGUCGGGCUGCCAUCCUACCCGCCUCGGAGCAGCCGACCAUGUGCUGAAACUGUGAGUGGAAAUCAAGCUCUGCCCUCUAAGUUGGGAGUGGUGGGCGUUUUUCCCCAGCAAUGGGAAAAUGAUUAGGGCCGUGGCCUUUCUCUGACAGACUGCUGAGUCUGUGUUUGGAUGGAGACUGGGAAGAGUGGGAGUGUGACUACCUGUUAGGCACUGAACUGCAUCCGCCACAGAUUCACACGUCGGGACCCUGACCUCCAGGACGGUAGUUCAGAAUGUGUCUGUAUUUGGAGACAAUCUUUAAAAAAAGUAGUGAAGGUGCAAUGAGCUCAUUACAGCAGGCCUCGGUCCACCAGGACGUGUGUCCUCCUAAGAUUAGGACACAGACACACACAGAAGGACAUGUGAAGAAGCAGGGAGAAGAUGGCCAUGCACACGCCAAGGAGAUGGGCCUCAGAAGAAACCUGGGCGGCUGACAUUUUGACCUUGGGCUUUCAGCCUCCAGAACCGAAGAGAACUCUGUCUCCAGUUACUCUGGUCUCUGCAGUUCCCAUCAGCCAGACCCCUGCGAGCCCUCACAGAAGGCAGUGUCACCGAUUCUGUUCGAGAAGCAGCCCCUACCACUCCUCCUUCGCUGCUGCCACGGUUGGAACCCGGAGCCCCCCACAGGCUCGUAUGUUGGUGGCUUGGUCCCCGUGGCAACAAUGUUUAGAAGGCUGUGGGGAGGUGGGGUCAAGAGGGCUCUGAUCCCAUCGAUGGAUUAAUCUAUUAAUAGAUUCAUAAAUGAAAUGACUCCCGGGAAGUACCGGAGCUCCAGGAGGCCGAGUCUAGAGGGUGCAGAUUACUGGGAGCAAUCCCCGGAGGGUGUCUGUCCCCACUCUUCUCACACGCUCGCUGUCUGUCUGCUUCCAGCUACCAGAGAUGAGCAGCUUCCCUCCGCAACGCCCCCACCGCGAUGUGCUGCCUCACCAGAAGCCAUGGAGCCAGCCACCCAGGCACUGAAACCUCCAAAGCUGUGAGCCAACGCAAAUCUCUCCUCCCUUGAGUUGACUUCCUCAGGCAUUUUGCCAGUGACAGAAAGCUAACUCGGCUGCUCUGUAGCCUUCCCUCCAUCCCUCGCUUCAAUGUCUUCUACCCCUAGAACUACCCAACUAUGUUCUUUUGGCCCUGAAGACACUGUUUUAUGUCUUCUCCAAAGGUCUCCAAGGCAAGGAGCACAAAGAAAUGGUUAACACCUGGUUAAAAUGUGCAGGAACAUGUACAGCAAUAAAAACAGCAUAAAUUAGUAUGUGGGUAAUCAUCCUGCUUGUGUAGACGGAAUGAGGGAGCUGUCACACUCCAUGAGUUCUCUGUGGUGCAGCUGGAAUCUGUCCCUGGAGAAGCAGCAGCUCGGUCGGUAUUUCCUCCGCGUGCCCCGUGUUCUUGCGCGGAAGGAGGCGACCCCGCGCUGCGCUGCUGGCCUGUGCUCCAGAGUCUCAGGCUCUUCCCUAACCACAGGAGCUAAAUCACAGAGGCCAGACUCAGCCUGUGCCCCUAGCUUCCUGACAGACACAGUCUGCUCCUCCGGGGCUGGGAGGGGCUCAGUGACAGGUGUCCUUCUUUCUGGGAAAUGAUUAGCACCCCAGGGAAGCACUGUGCUGGCUCUGAGCAUCUCAUUAACAGCAUGACUGUGCGCUUCCGGUGCUGAGCUGGGCCCUGCGGUGGCUGCGGAUGGGCAGGGCAUUGAGGGCCACAGCUCCUGGCCACCGCGCCUCCCGGAUGUGCAAAUGCCUGCAUCCAGGUGGCUCCCAGAAACCCGGCCUCCUAACCAAAAGAAAAUUUCCUGGGCAGAGACCGGAUCCUUCCUACUAGAAAAAUGGUUUCCCCUUGCUCUGUGCCUCUGAUACAGACACACACACACUCUGCCGGCAGCUCCUCCGUCCUGGCUCGGAGGCGCCCGCCUCUCUUCACUCCCAUCCUGAGGCCUGUCACUGGCAAACCGGCGGGGCGCGUGGCUGUCUGGGGCGAUCACGUCAGCUCUCCUCUCCGCGUUUAACACCAUGGGAGACCAUAUUUUAGUGCAGCGUUCAGGGGAUUCAACUCUUCCAGCCUCCAACUCUGAGUACAGGAAGCAGGUCCCUUUCAUCCGCCGCUGCGGCCUAAGUGCCUCGCACAGCCCCGGCGCUCGCAGGCCGGGUGGCGGGGGAGCGCGGGCCUGGGCGCCUGGGGAGCGGCCGAGCCCCGGAGGUGCGGCCUGCGCCCCGCCUUCGCCGGCGGAGCGAGGACCCCGCGAAAACGACCGGGGGCUGCGGCGGGCGCGGCCGGGCUGCAGGCGAGGCGCUCCAGGCCGGCCUAGGCGACCUAGGGCCGCAGAGCACGACGCCGCUGCUCCACGACGAUCUCGAAAUGAGCACACCACCCAGCGAUGGAGCCAUUUGCACAACGCGCAGGCCCUGAGCGGGUAAACUGCUCGCACCUUUUCAAACGGUGCACUUUCCCUACAAGAAAACCGAGGAGCUCCCGGCCGCGACAGGCUGCGCACGCGCAGAGGCGCCCGGCGCCACCUGGUGUUCACGCCGCGUAACGCUCGCGAGCUUCCUCCAGCCGGAAUUCUGGGCAAAAUCCCCAUUACUGUGCGUAUUUUCUGAAGCAUCCUCUCAAAAUCUUUCACUUGAAAAGUGUGAGGCAUGUAAAAAUAAUGCAAAAUCACGACGCCGUCAGAACUUCAUUGUUUAAUUAUAAAGUGAAAGAUCUGCAUUACUAGCUAUAUUUAUACUAUAUUACUAUUACACUAUAUUACUAGCUAUACCGGUUCGUUUUUUGAGCAACCUGGUGCAGUGCUGCACUCGUGUAAUCCUAGCUGCUUGAGAGGCUGAGGCAGGAGGAUCACAUGCUCAAGGUCAAUCAAGGCAAGAUGGCAAGAUCUUGUCCCCAAAGAAACCCAGAUUUAUUGGGGAUUUACUAUAUGUCAGAUUCUCUCCUAAGGGGCCUGAAUGGGUUAAUUUAAUUGUAACUCAAAAGACAACUAUCGUCAUUUCUACUUUACAUAUGGCAAUGGGGCACUGAGAGGUGAACACAUUUGCCGAAAGUCCCCAAGUCGGACCCCACCCUCCCCCAGCAGCCCGGCUCCCGGCACCCACAGGAGCAGAGGCAACAAGAAGCUGCAGCGCUUGCCGAAGGGCGAGGGCUGCGCGGGAGGGGCUCCUGGUGGGGCCGACGGGGGCGCCGGAAGCCUGCGGGGAAGGGGCCAUCGCACCCGCCACCUGGGAGCGCGCCACGCGGAGGCCGGCGUCCGAGGGACGCGCCAGACCAGCCGGGUUACCUCGGGCCCGUGCCGUCAGCCAGGGACAUCUGUGUCGCCCGAGCGCCGACCUGGUGACUCGAGGCCGAAGGCGCGGGACGAGGCGGGGGGAGCCAGCUAGGGCCUCGUCCUCAGAGCCCGGCCUUCGAGCUUUGGAGGCCCGGGAGCCGUGGUGCUGCGGCCACACUGCCCAAACCCAGAGUUUCUGAAGAAGACUCCGGUCUUGCCAUGGCCUGAUGUCAUUCUUUGCGUCAAAACCUAAGCUUUUCUUUUUGUUCAUUCUCAGCCCCGUGGUUCCACUGUCUAAUUUAGGCCUUUAAAAAGGGAAAGCCUUAUUUAUUGCAGUUCUGUGCCAUAUAAGGUCGAGGGCAUCAUUGAUAAUCUGAAAAUCCUUUCUCCUCUGCUUUCUGGAAGGAGUAAACAGGACCUUUACCUGCUCUGCAGAACUUAGUCUCCCCCUAAUACUGAGGCCUUUUGUUUGCUGUUUUCCCUGAGCAUUAGACUGAAGCAGGCUUUAGGGAUCAGAUUGUGUCCAUGGUCACUAUAAUGCAUCAUCUCUGGAUUUAUUAGACCUUCUAAUUAGAGACUGGUUGUACAGUUAUUCAACUUGCUUAUAAAAAUGUACUCUAAGCAAAGUAAGUGCUUUUGAAGAACAGAAUUAGGCUAGACUUUUGAAAGAACAAAAGUCAACUCAUCUUCAUUUUAAAGAAAACUGCCUGCCUAGCAAUCCACUUAAGGGAAGGAAAACUAGAGAGCCUGAGAUGCAGAUUAUUUCCCUUCACAAAUAUAAAAAGAAUAAGUCUAAGAGAAUAUAGGAAGAUUUAAAAAGGCGUGUGAUAGUAAGGUUGAAGCUAAGCAGACCAGGGAACUCAAA